GUAAUAGUUAGCACUUGGACUAGAAGAUCAGAGCUACUGAGAAAAUUGCCCCCAGACUCUCUGUCUGCUUCUGGGAGGUACCAGGGCCAGAGAAGAAAAGACCAAGUUCUGAGGAUGAAAUGGUCUUUGCUAUCAGAGAAGCAGUAGAGAGAGCCAUGAACGAGAUACAGAAGACCUCUCUCUACCUGGGACAGUGGAACUUUCUCUCCAGCUAGCAGGUUCUUUCUAGGAGCAGCGAAUGAAGGAUCAGCGUUCGAAUAUCUGAAGUUGUGCCUGUAAAACUCUUCGGCAGCCCACUGCACUGCUUUGCCUGUGGGUGCACCCCACCGCCCGGCUCUGCCUGACCGGGGAAGUGAAUGAGGUGAUCUUUUCAUUGUUGUUUCCCCAGCAACGGGCAAAAUGCCUAGAGCGGAGUGGGCACAUGCAGAGGAAGAAUCUGGAGGGGUUGGAGGAAGCAGGAGUCCAUGGCCAAGAUGCUGUAUACCUACCUGUGGCCGGAAUGAUUUGGAACUGUCUUUCUUCAGUGUCCAGGAGAAGCUUAGACUCAAAAGUUUUACUGUGAUGCUGAAAAAGAUAAAUGCUAUGUAGUUGUCUAAGGAAAUAUAUGUUACUGUUAGUUUUUUAAAAAAGGUUUUAUGAACAGGGGACGCCUAGGUGGUGCAGUUGGUUAAGCGGCUGACUCUUGAUUUCAGCUCAGGUCAUGAUCUCAGGG